rnacentral:rRNA from 1 species
GAUGAACGCUGGCGGCGUGCCUAAUACAUGCAAGUCGAGCGAACAGACGAGGAGCUUGCUCCUCUGACGUUAGCGGCGGACGGGUGAGUAACACGUGGAUAACCUACCUAUAAGACUGGGAUAACUUCGGGAAACCGGAUCUAAUACCGGAUAACAUAUUGAACCUCAUGGUUCAACAGUGAAAGACGGUCUUUCUGUCACUUAUAGAUGGAUACGGGCCGCAUUAGCUGGUUGGUAACGUAACGGCUUACCAAGGCAACGAUGCGUAGCCGACCUGAAAGGGUGAUCGCCCACACUGUAACUGAGACACGGUCCAGACUCCUACAGUAGGCAGCAGUAGGGAAUCUUCCGCAAUGGACGAAAGCCUAACGUAGCAACACCGCGUGAGUGAAGAAGGUCUUCUGAUCCUAAAACUCUGUUAUUAGUGAAGAACAAAUGUGUAAUUAACUAUGCACAUCUUGACAGUACCUAAUCAGAAAGCCACGGCUAACUACGUG